rnacentral:rRNA from 1 species
CCUACGGGAGGCAGCAGUGGGGAAUAUUGGACAAUGGGCGAAAGCCUGAUCCAGCCAUGCCGCGUGUGUGAAGAAGGCCUUCGGGUUGUAAAGCACUUUCAGUGGGGAAGAAAGCCUUGGGGCUAAUACCCUCGAGGAAGGACAUCACCCACAGAAGAAGCACCGGCUAACUCCGUGCCAGCAGCCGCGGUAAUACGGAGGGUGCGAGCGUUAAUCGGAAUUACUGGGCGUAAAGCGCGCGUAGGCGGUCUGAUAAGCCGGUUGUGAAAGCCCCGGGCUCAACCUGGGAACGGCAUCCGGAACUGUCCGGCUAGAGUGCAGGAGAGGAAGGUAGAAUUCCCGGUGUAGCGGUGAAAUGCGUAGAGAUCGGUAGGAAUACCAGUGGCGAAGGCGGCCCUCUGGACUGACACUGACGCUGAGGUGCGAAAGCGUGGGUAGCAAACAGGAUUAGAUACCCGAGUAGUC